UACGGAGGGUGCGAGCGUUGUUCGGAUUUAUUGGGCGUAAAGCGCGUGUAGGCGGUUUCAUAAGUCUGAUGUGAAAGCCCCGGGCUCAACCUGGGAAGUGCAUUGGAUACUGUGAGACUUGAAUACGGGAGAGGGUAGUGGAAUUCCUAGUGUAGGAGUGAAAUCCGUAGAUAUUAGGAGGAACACCGGUGGCGAAGGCGGCUACCUGGACCGAUAUUGACGCGGAGAAGCGAAAGCGUGGGUAGCAAACAGG
rnacentral:rRNA from 1 species